GGACUGACCGUUGUUUGAACUCAGCGUACAGGAUGCGGUUUGGAAAGCCCUUCCUGCAGAUCCUGAUCCCCUCGAGGACUCCGUUACACCUCAACUGGUGGAGGACCAGGAAGGCAUCCAUCAUACCUGGAGAACACAUACAACCCCACAGUUGGCCACUGGCUGGUGGUGCUGCUGUUGUUUGGUUACCUGGACUCUUGGUGUCGUUGGGGAUGAUGCAGCGGACAAAGUGAGGCUGAGUGCUGCGGAGAUCUCGAAGCCGGCGAUGUCGAGGACUCCAAUGAAGUACUGACGAGGCAGAGCGGUGUAUAAGGAUGAGUUGAUACGACUCACCAACCACUUAAACAUCCGGUCAUAGGUGGCUUUGGCCAGGGCUGCCGCUGAAAAGAGCAGCGAUGAUGGCAAAGUACUGUAUCACCCUCUUGGUGUUGACAGUUUUCCCUGCGCCUGACUCACCGCUGACACGAUGACACAACAGACAGAGAAGGAUUGUCACCGAAAAUUACAGGUUGAAGAAGACCGAGGCUUCGUUGAGGUGUGUCAACAUGGCCAUGUCCUCGUACAUGUCAAACUUGGACGGGUUCGUUGGCUGGAGGUCGUUUUCUUUGGCUAUCAGAAACUGAAA